GUGGGGAAUAUUGGACAAUGGGGGGAACCCUGAUCCAGCCAUGCCGCGUGUGUGAAGAAGGCCUUUUGGUUGUAAAGCACUUUAAGCGAGGAGGAGGCUACCGAGAUUAAUACUCUUGGAUAGUGGACGUUACUCGCAGAAUAAGCACCGGCUAACUCUGUGCCAGCAGCCGCGGUAAUACAGAGGGUGCAAGCGUUAAUCGGAUUUACUGGGCGUAAAGCGCGCGUAGGUGGCCAAUUAAGUCAAAUGUGAAAUCAACGAGCUUAACUUGGGAAUUGCAAUCGAUACUGGUUGGCUAGAGUAUGGGAGAGGAUGGUAGAAUUCCAGGUGUAGCGGUGAGAUGCGUAGAGAUCUGGAGGAAUACCGAUGGCGAAGGCAGCCAUCUGGCCUAAUACUGACACUGAGGUGCGAAAGCAUGGGGAGCAAACAGGAUUAGAUACCCCUGUAGUCC
rnacentral:rRNA from 1 species